rnacentral:lncRNA from 1 species
UGGGAAUUGACUUUGGGUUUGAGGUGGGUCGUGAUCGUUGAUUUGCUUAAACUUACUCUCGAGCCCAAUGUCGUUUAAAUUUAAUUUUUGCUAAACUGCUUCAGACUGGACUCAACAGGGCUAAAAGCAGGAUCGUGACUUAAUAAGAGGGUUAAUCAAAUAUUUUUCUAUACAAUUAUAACUUUUAAUCUAAUCAAGACCAAAGCCCAUUUAAUUAUAACCUUAGCCGGGUCAACACAAUCUCCUUAUAUAUUUUUCUAUAGUUUUCAUGAAAGAUUGCAAUCAAGAGAAAGACAAGUUCAGAGUCUGUUUUAAGAAAAGAAU